UACGUAGGGGGCGAGCGUUGUCCGGAUUUAUUGGGCGUAAAGAGCGUGUAGGCGGUUCGGUAAGUCUGUCGUGAAAUCCUGAGGCUCAACCUCGGACGUGCGAUGGAUACUGCCGGGCUAGAGGAUGGUAGAGGCGAGUGGAAUUCCCGGUGUAGCGGUGAAAUGCGCAGAUAUCGGGAGGAACACCAGUAGCGAAGGCAGCUCGCUGGGACGUUACUGACGCUGAGACGCGAAAGCGUGGGGAGCAAACAGG
rnacentral:rRNA from 1 species